GUCCCGCUGUACCGAAAAGUCACCGUAGGGUGGCCUGCCGGCCGAAGGGUCGGAUAGGAGGCGGGGCGCGC
rnacentral:sRNA from 12 species